UCGAGGACCUCCAUGACACCUACGUUGGUGUGGGUUGUGCCGCCUCAUCGUGACCGUCAUCGAUUGGGCCUCCGAGUCCAGGAGAAGACCUCCAAUGAAGAAAGAGACAUGCUGCACAUGCACGAGGGUACUUGCAGAUAGAUGUCGGCUCUACGGACGAACACUCGACCAAGUCAGAUGAGGAGUAUGAGGGCCUAGCCAUGCACGAUGUGAUGGCUACUGGUCCGACGAUGAGCAGCAAGCUGUGAGUUAAAGAUGAACUCACCUGCCCUGGAGAGCAACAUCCAUAGGAGUGAGGCAAAAUGGCUGGUACCACCACAACA